AGAAUCUCAACAGCAGUAGCAGCCCUGGCUUGUCAAAUGCUCUUGAGGCUCUGGGGGAGGUGAGAAGUGCCACGUUCAGCCAGGCACAACUGCAGGAUAAAGAGGUCAUCGAUAACUGGUUCCAGAAAAAGAUCCAACUCUUCUUGGCCGCUCCAACAACAAACUUCCUUACCUGCCUCAGUGCCAACAAUUUCAGCUGCCCGACAUACCAAAUUGUGUAAGUGCAAAGUGUCUCUUACAAAGUGGUCAGCUUUGACAACAUCACUGAAAAACAUGAGCAUGUUUAGACACUGAAAACCCUCUUUCCGAAUGUUAGUGUUAAAGCUCUCAGUAGCCAGAAGGCGUUCAUGGACAGUGAGACACAGCAGGCAGUCUUCACUAACUUCAUUCAACCAUUCCUGUCAAGAAAUGACUCAUCAGAUCCAGGAUGCAUUUCCUUUGUCAAUGGAAGCUUAAACUGGCUAGUGGCAAACUUUGGCAACUUCUCAGGUUUAGCAAGCUUAAAGGAUUUGCUGGCUCUCAAUCCAAACUUUUCCAGCGUGAGUGCUCUCUGCACCUAUCUACUUCAUUUUUUUAUUCUUCCCGUUUCAGCAGCGCUCCGACCAAUGCUUUUGAUUUUGUCUUCACAGGUUCAAUUUCUAUCAGAGCUCGCUCCUUCUCAGAUGGCGCAGUUAAUUGUGAGCACAAGCACCUCAAAUGACACAGUCCUGGUCGAUCGAGUCUUCAAUCAACUUGAGCAAGGGAAUGCUCUGAAAAAUGUGGACCAGUUCUUGACACAGCUGAGCGUGGAUGGACAGGUGCCAGAAUUGCAGCCUGUUGUCAGAGACUUCAUCAUGAACAGGACCUUCAAGAUCGUUGGUCCACAACUGGAAAAUUUCAACACAGAGGACUUUUACAUUUGGUUCCAUAUCAAACUGGUAUAUGUCCUUGCAAGUUUCACUCCAGAGAUGCUCCAGCUUACAGUCCAAACAACCAACUGUACAAACUACCACGUAGUGUAAGUUAACUUUUGCCAGCAGUCACUACCUAAUGCAUCCAACUUACAAGUAUCUUUGAGCUAAUGAUUAUACAUGAUUGUUUGGCUACGAUCUGCAGUGUGAGUGGCAUGGCCAUGGUGUACUCUUCCAUACCAGAGGAUACACAACAAGGACUUGCAAAUGUUCUCCUGGGCUACCUAAAAAAUCUUGCCGGUGAAAUCAACACACCAGGUAAGGUGACAUGCUACAAGAGGGAAGACUUGCCAUCCCAUUAAAAAUGCAAAAUAUA
rnacentral:lncRNA from 1 species